CAGCAGCCGCGGGAAUACGAAGGGUGCAAGCGUUACUCGGAAUUACUGGGCGUAAAGCGUGCGUAGGUGGUGGUUUAAGUCCGUUGUGAAAGCCCUGGGCUCAACCUGGGAAUUGCAGUGGAUACUGGGUCACUAGAGUGUGGUAGAGGAUAGUGGAAUUUCCGGUGUAGCAGUGAAAUGCGUAGAGAUCGGAAGGAACAUCUGUGGCGAAGGUGGCUAUCUGGGCCAACACUGACACUGAGGCACGAAAGCGUGGGGAGCAAACAGGAUUAGAUACCCCAGUAGUCCCUGUCUCUUAUAA
rnacentral:rRNA from 1 species